AGAGUUUGAUCCUGGCUCAGGACGAACGCUGGCGGCGUGCCUUAUACAUGCAAGUCGAACGAGAAAGCGUCUUUCGGGAUGCGAGUAAAGUGGCGAACGGGUGAGUAACACGUAGGUAACCUACCUGUGAGAUGGGGAUAACCUGCCUAACGGCGGGCUAAUACCGAAUGAAGCACUGGGAGUAGAUUUCAGUGUUAAAGAUAUCCGUAAGGUUAUCGUUCACAGAUGGGCCUGCGGCUCAUUAGCUAGUUGGUGGGGUAACGGCUCACCAAGGCGACGAUGGGUAGCCGGCCUGAGAGGGUGGUCGGCCACACUGGGACUGAGAUACGGCCCAGACUCCUACGGGAGGCAGCAGUAGGGAAUAUUGCGCAAUGGUCGCAAGACUGACGCAGCAACGCCGCGUGGAUGAUGAAGCUCUAUGGAGUGUAAAGUCCUGUUAGAAGGGAAGAACAGUACGGAGUAAAAGCUUCGUAAUUGACGGUACCUUCAGAGAAAGCCCCGGCUAACUCCGUGCCAGCAGCCGCGGUAAUACGGGGGGGGCAAGCGUUGUCCGGAAUUACUGGGCGUAAAGGGCGCGUAGGUGGAAGUGUAAGUUAGGGGUGAAAGCUAGCAGCUUAACUGCUGGUCUGCCUUUAAUACUGCAUUUCUUGAGUGCGAAAGAGGGAAGCGGAAUUCUUGGUGUAGCGGUGAAAUGCGUAGAUAUCAAGAAGAACACCGGUAGCGUAGGCGGCUUCCUGGUUCGUAACUGACGCUGAGGCGCGAAAGUGUGGGGAGCAAACAGGAUUAGAUACCCUGGUAGUCCACACUGUAAACGAUGGAUACUAGGUGUUGGGUUUAAAGACUCAGUGCCGAAGUUAACGCAUUAAGUAUCCCGCCUGGGGAGUACGAUCGCAAGGUUGAAACUCAAAGGAAUUGACGGGGGCCCGCACAAGCGGUGGAGCAUGUGGUUUAAUUCGAUGCAACGCGAAGAACCUUACCGGGGUUUGAAAAGCAGUUGAAAGCCGUUGAAAGACGGCCGUCCUUCGGGACAACUGUACAGGUGCUGCAUGGCUGUCGUCAGCUCGUGCCGUGAGGUGUUGGGUUAAGUCCCGCAACGAGCGCAACCCUUGUCCUUAGUUGCUAUCAGGUUAAGCUGAGAACUCUAAGGAGACUGCCUCGGAUAACGAGGAGGAAGGUGGGGAUGACGUCAAGUCCUCAUGGCCCUUACAUCCCGGGCUACACACGUGCUACAAUGGCUAGUACAACGGGAAGCGAUACUGCGAAGUGGAGCAAAUCCCUUAAAACUGGUCUCAGUUCGGAUUGUAGUCUGCAACUCGACUACAUGAAGUUGGAAUCGCUAGUAAUCGCGGAUCAGCAUGCCGCGGUGAAUACGUUCCCGGGCCUUGUACACACCGCCCGUCACGCCAUGGAAGUUGAUAGCACCCGAAGUCGCCAGGCUAACCCGCAAGGGAGGCAGGUGCCGAAGGUGAGAUCAAUGACUGGGGCGAAGUCGUAACAAGGUAACC
rnacentral:rRNA from 1 species